rnacentral:rRNA from 1 species
UACGAAGGGGGCUAGCGUUGCUCGGAAUCAUUGGGCGUAAAGGGCGCGUAGGCGGCCUCGUUAGUCAGGCGUGAAACUCCCGGGCUCAACCCGGGAACUGCGCUUGAUACGGCGGGGCUAGAGGAUGGAAGAGGGCCGCGGAAUUCCCAGUGUAGAGGUGAAAUUCGUAGAUAUUGGGAAGAACACCGGUGGCGAAGGCGGCGGCCUGGUCCAUUUCUGACGCUGAGGCGCGACAGCGUGGGGAGCAAACAGG